CUGGCUCAGAUUUAACGCUGGCGGCAUGCCUUACACAUGCAAGUCGAACGGCAGCACGGGCUUCGGCCUGGUGGCGAGUGGUGAACGGGUGAGUAAUACAUCGGAACAUGUCCUGUAGUGGGGGAUAGCCCGGCGAAAGCCGGAUUAAUACCGCAUACGAUCUGAGGAUGAAAGCGGGGGACCUUCGGGCCUCGCGCUAUAGGGUUGGCCGAUGGCUGAUUAGCUAGUUGGUGGGGUAAAGGCCUACCAAGGCGACGAUCAGUAGCUGGUCUGAGAGGACGACCAGCCACACUGGGACUGAGACACGGCCCAGACUCCUACGGGAGGCAGCAGUGGGGAAUUUUGGACAAUGGGCGCAAGCCUGAUCCAGCAAUGCCGCGUGUGUGAAGAAGGCCUUCGGGUUGUAAAGCACUUUUGUCCGGAAAGAAAUCAUUCUGGCUAAUACCCGGAGUGGAUGACG
rnacentral:rRNA from 1 species